rnacentral:rRNA from 1 species
GAGGCCUACGGGGCGCAGCAGUAGGGAAUCUUCCACAAUGGGCGAAAGCCUGAUAGAGCAACGCCGCGCGGGUGAAGAAGGUCUUCGGAUCGUAAAACCCUGUUGUUAGAGAAGAAAGUGCGUGAGAGUAACUGUUCACGUUUCGACGGUAUCUAACCAGAAAGCCACGGCUAACUACGUGCCAGCAGCCGCGGUAAUACGUAGGUGGCAAGCGUUAUCCGGAUUUAUUGGGCGUAAAGGGAACGCAGGCGGUCUUUUAAGUCUGAGGUGAAAGCCUUCAGCUUAACCGGAGUAGUGCAUUGGGA